GGAAAGGCCGAAGCUCAGUGCUAGAGAAUCAACCUUGCAUGCAGAAGGUCCCAGGUUCAAUUCCUGGCCUCUCCA